UACGAAGGGGGCUAGCGUUGUUCGGAAUUACUGGGCGUAAAGCGCGUGUAGGCGGCACGUUAAGUCGACUGUGAAAGCCCACGGCUCAACCGUGGAAGGGCAGCCGAAACUGGCGAGCUUGAGUCCCGAAGAGGGUGGCGGAAUUCCCAGUGUAGAGGUGAAAUUCGUAGAUAUCGAGAGGAACACCGGUGGCGAAGGCGGCUUCCUGGCCCGUACCUGACGCUGAGGCGCGAAAGCGUGGGGAGCAGACAGG
rnacentral:rRNA from 1 species